rnacentral:rRNA from 1 species
GAGGGAUCAAGAGGGUGCUAGACUCGGCCUGAAGUAUUUAUUGAAUGUUGUCACACUGCCCAUAGAGGGUGUAAGGCCCGUAAGGCCGGCGUCUAGAUUACCUCGCUGGUUCCUCUCGAGAGUCGGGUUGCUUGAAAGUGCAGCCCUAAGUAGGUGGUAAACUCCAUCUAAGGCUAAAUAUUCCCACGAGACCGAUAGCGAACAAGUACCGCGAGGGAAAGUUGAAAAGAACUUUGAAAAGAGAGUUCAAUAGAGCGUGAAACUACCACGAGGCUAAAGCGAGUGAGCGUACGUAUCCGAACGGUUUGAUUCAGUCCGCCCGAGCACGAUGAGCAGUGGGGGGUCGUAAUACGUCAUUAACGGAUCUCCCGAAAGGAUCCGAGCUUUACGCUCGGCCUCUAGGGUGACCGGCGUAUCCUCCGCUUUGCUCUGUAGGGGGACGCAUUUCCGGCCGAAGUAGGGCGUCGCGGCCGUUUCGGGGGUGUCUAAGACACGGGGGUCUUGGAAUCCGCAUCUUCUCGUCCCGGCGCGCUCUACCGCCUCGCCUUCGCGGAGGGGCGGCAUCACGCCGGGGUCGCGAGUCGAGCGGGGCCGCCUCGUUGAUCUGACGGCC